rnacentral:misc_RNA from 1 species
GACGAAGACGCAGCGAAAUGCGAUAAGUAAUGUGAAUUGCAGAAUUCAGUGAAUCAUCGAAUCUUUGAACGCACAUUGCGCCCGCCAGUAUUCUGGCGGGCAUGCCUGUUCGAGCGUCAUUUCAACCAUCAAGCCCUGCUUGCGUUGGGGUCCUGCGGCUGCCCGCAGGCCCUGAAAACCAGUGGCGGGCUCGCUAGUCACACCGAGCGCAGUAAUACAUCUCGCUUUGGGCGUGCGGCGGGUUCUUGCCGUUAAACACCCCCUUUUUACCAAGGUUGACCUCGGAUCAGGUAGGAAUACCCGCUGAACUUAAGCAUAUCAAUAAGCGGAGGA